rnacentral:rRNA from 1 species
UACGAAGGGGGCUAGCGUUGCUCGGAAUCACUGGGCGUAAAGCGCACGUAGGCGGCUUUCUAAGUCAGGGGUGAAAUCCUGGAGCUCAACUCCAGAACUGCCUUUGAUACUGGCGAUCUCGAGUCCGGGAGAGGUGAGUGGAACUGCGAGUGUAGAGGUGAAAUUCGUAGAUAUUCGCAAGAACACCAGUGGCGAAGGCGGCUCACUGGCCCGGUACUGACGCUGAGGUGCUAAAGCGUGGGGAGCAAACAGG